AGCGCAGAAUCUCGCUAUCCG
rnacentral:snRNA from 1 species